ACCUGUGGCUACAGCUUAGUGGCAGAGUAUCUGCUUGGUGCACAGAACUUCCAAGGUUCAAUCCCUGGCAUUGCCAGGCA